GACGAACGCUGGCGGCGUGCUUAACACAUGCAAGUCGACAUGAGUGGCGAACGGGUAUGUAUUGCGUGGGUAACCUGCCCUCCUUUUUGGGAUAAGACUUGGAAACUGGGUCUACUACCGCACAAAGGGGGAGGGGGUCGGGGCCUAUCAGCUGGUUGGUGGGGGGAGGGCCUAACAAGGCGGUGACGGGUUGCCGGCCUGAGAGGGGGACCGGCAACAUUGGGACGGUGCUACGGCCCAGAGUACUACGGGAGGGAGCAGUGGGGUAUAUUGCACAAUGGGCGAAAGCCUGAUGCAGCGACGUCGCGUGGGGGAUGAAGGCUUUCGGGUUGUAAACCUCUGUCGCUAUCGAACGGGUAGGUGGAGAAGAAGCGCCGGCUAACGACGUGCCAGCAGCCGCGGUAAUUC
rnacentral:rRNA from 1 species